rnacentral:rRNA from 2 species
CGAAAGAUUUAUCGGCUUAAGAUGAGCCCGCGUUGGAUUAGCUAGUUGGUGGGGUAAAGGCCUACCAAGGCGACGAUCCAUAGCUGGUCUGAGAGGAUGAUCAGCCACACUGGGACUGAGACACGGCCCAGACUCCUACGGGAGGCAGCAGUGGGGAAUAUUGGACAAUGGGCGGAAGCCUGAUCCAGCCAUGCCGCGUGAGUGAAGAAGGCCUUAGGGUUGUAAAGCUCUUUCANCGGUGAAGAUAAUGACGGUAACCGGAGAAGAAGCCCCGGCUAACUUCGUGCCAGCAGCCGCGGUAAUACGAAGGGGGCUAGCGUUGUUCGGAUUUACUGGGCGUAAAGCGCGCGUAGGCGGAUAGAUAAGUCAGAGGUGAAAUCCCGGGGCUCAACCCCGGAAUUGCCUUUGAUACUGUUUAUCUUGAGUGCAGAAGAGGNNAAGUGGAAUUCCGAGUG